rnacentral:rRNA from 1 species
UACGGGGGGGGCAAGCGUUGUUCGGAAUUACUGGGCGUAAAGGGCUCGUAGGUGGCCAACUAAGUCGGACGUGAAAUCCCUCAGCUUAACUGGGGAACUGCGUCCGAUACUGAAUGGCUUGAGUUUGGGAGAGGGAUGCGGAAUUCCAGGUGUAGCGGUGAAAUGCGUAGAUAUCUGGAGGAACACCGGUGGCGAAGGCAGCACUCUGGGACGUGACUGACGCUGAGACGCGAAAGCGUGGGGAGCAAACAGG